UACGUAGGUGACAAGCGUUGUCCGGAUUUACUGGGCGUAAAGAGCGCGCAGGCGGUCGAUCAAGUCGAGUGUGAAAGCCCCCGGCUCAACUGGGGAGGGUCAUUCGAUACUGAUCGACUCGAAGGCAGGAGAGGGUAGUGGAAUUCCCGGUGUAGUGGUGAAAUGCGUAGAUAUCAAGCGGAACACCGGUGGCGAAGGCGGCCUUCUGGACAGUGACUGACGCUGAGAUGCGAAAGCGUGGGGAGCAAACAGG
rnacentral:rRNA from 1 species